GACGAACGCUGGCGGCGGGCUUAACACAUGCAAGUCGAACGGAAAGGCCCUGCGUUUGUGGGGUUCUCGAGUGGCGAACGGGGGAGUAACACGUGAGUAACCUGCCCUUGACUUUGGGAUAACUUCAGGAAACUGGGGCUAAUACCGGAUAGGAGCUCCUGCUGCAUGGUGGGGGUUGGAACGUUUCGGCGGUUGGGGAUGGACGCGCGGCUUAUCAGCUAGUUGGUGGGGUAGGGGCUUACCAAGGCUGUGACGGGUAGCCGGCAUGAGAGCGUGACCGGCCACAUUGGGACUGAGAGACGGCCCAGACUCCUACGGGAGGCAGCAGUGGGGAAUAUUGCACAAUGGGCGGACGCCUGAUGCAGCAACGCCGCGUGCGGGAUGACGGCCUUCGGGUUGUAAACCGCUUUCGCCUGUGACGAAGCGUGAGUGACGGUAAUGGGUAAAGAAGCACCGGCUAACUACGUG
rnacentral:rRNA from 1 species